GAUGAACGCUGGCGGCGUGCCUAAUACAUGCAAGUCGAGCGAACAGACGAGGAGCUUGCUCCUCUGACGUUAGCGGCGGACGGGUAAGUAACACGUGGAUAACCUACCUAUAAGACUGGGAUAACUUCGGGAAACCGGAGCUAAUACCGGAUAAUAUAUUGAACCGCAUGGUUCAAUAGUGAAAGACGGUUUUGCUGUCACUUAUAGAUGGAUCCGCGCCGCAUUAGCUAGUUGGUAAGGUAACGGCUUACCAAGGCGACGAUGCGUAGCCGACCUGAGAGGGUGAUCGGCCACACUGGAACUGAGACACGGUCCAGACUCCUACGGGAGGCAGCAGUAGGGAAUCUUCCGCAAUGGGCGAAAGCUUGACGGAGCAACGCCGCGUGAGUGAUGAAGGUCUUCGGAUCGUAAAACUCUGUUAUUAGGGAAGAACAAAUGUGUAAGUAACUAUGCACGUCUUGACGGUACCUAAUCAGAAAGCCACGGCUAACUACGUG
rnacentral:rRNA from 1 species